CCCUGCACUCUGGGACAAGCCCUGGAAACGGGGUCUAAUACCGGAUACUGACCCGCUUGGGCAUCCAAGCGGUUCGAAAGCUCCGGCGGUGCAGGAUGAGCCCGCGGCCUAUCAGCUUGUUGGUGAGGUAAUGGCUCACCAAGGCGACGACGGGUAGCCGGCCUGAGAGGGCGACCGGCCACACUGGGACUGAGACACGGCCCAGACUCCUACGGGAGGCAGCAGUGGGGAAUAUUGCACAAUGGGCGAAAGCCUGAUGCAGCGACGCCGCGUGAGGGAUGACGGCCUUCGGGUUGUAAACCUCUUUCAGCAGGGAAGAAGCGAAAGUGACGGUACCUGCAGAAGAAGCGCCGGCUAACUACGUGCCAGCAGCCGCGGUAAUACGUAGGGCGCGAGCGUUGUCCGGAAUUAUUGGGCGUAAAGAGCUCGUAGGCGGCUUGUCACGUCGGUUGUGAAAGCCCGGGGCUUAACCCCGGGUCUGCAGUCGAUACGGGCAGGCUAGAGUUCGGUAGGGGAGAUCGGAAUUCCUGGUGUAGCGGUGAAAUGCGCAGAUAUCAGGAGGAACACCGGUGGCGAAGGCGGAUCUCUGGGCCGAUACUGACGCUGAGGAGCGAAAGCGUGGGGAGCGAACAGGAUUAGAUACCCUGGUAGUCCACGCCGUAAACGGUGGGCACUAGGUGUGGGCGACAUUCCACGUCGUCCGUG
rnacentral:rRNA from 1 species